CCUACGGGCGGCAGCAGUGGGGAAUAUUGGGCAAUGGAGGCAACUCUGACCCAGCAACGCCGCGUGAAUGAUGAAGGUCUUCGGAUUGUAAAGUUCUGUGAGGGGGGAAGAAAACAAUGACGGUACCCCAAUAGCAAGCGACGGCUAACGACGUGCCAGCAGCCGCGGUAAUACGUAGGCGGCAAGCGUUAGCCGGAAUGACUGGGCGUAAAGGGUGCGUAGGGGGUGUAGGAAGGUGGCGGUGUAAUGCCGGGGCUCAACCGCGGCGCUCCCGCCGAAACUAUUAGACUAGAGUGCAGGAGGGGUAAGUGGAAUUCCUAGUGUAGCGGUGUAAUGCGUAGAUAUCAGGAGGAACAUCAGGGGCGAAGGCGACUUACUGGACUGUAACUGACACUGAGGCACGAAAGCGUGGGGAGCAAACAGGAUUAGAUACCCCUGUAGUC
rnacentral:rRNA from 1 species